UCCGUACGUGAACCUGCGGAAGGAUCAUUA
rnacentral:rRNA from 2 species